AUCCUUUUUCAGUUCAUAAGCAUUAUGAUUGGGUUUUCACAUGUUUCUAUAACAUGUGCCUCCCUUAAAUCAUGUUACACACUUGGCACAUUACCCAUCUGACA
ensembl:snoRNA